rfam:Picea glauca, whole genome shotgun sequence.
AUGUACAUGCUUACAACAUAGUGUUAAUGCAUCAGAUCCCAUUAGAAAUCCACAUUUAAGCACACUCGGGAUAAAUUAGUAUUGAUAUGGGUGAUCGUCCAGGAAGUAUUAGUAUUUUACAUC